UUCUCUUGUGUAAGUUUAUUUAAAUGAAAUGUGAUUCUAUAUAUCUAUUACGUAUUCUCAGAAUAUUCUAAGGUUUAUAUAGCAAAUUAAAAGAUUCAUGAAAAUAAUUGAAAUCUUUCUGAAGCUUUUGUCAGGACACUUUCCUCUCGACAUCUCGACACUUUCCUAUCACUAGUUCUACCAUUUUGGUGUCACCUUGAUUCUUAACUGCUUUUGUUCAUCUUAGCUAACAGCGACAGGAAUUCUGAAGCUUACAAAUUAACCAUGAUAGUGUGGCUCGCGGUGCAUUGAAAAAUACAUGUCUUGGUUAUCUUUGUCACUGAUCUUACAAUGAAUGAAUACAACUCUGCUACUAAUAUGACCGAGCAGUUUGCUACCUUAACAUCAUUAUCUCAAAACUCAGUUCAAGUUUGAGACGAUGCCCUUUUGGAGUUCUAUAACAAGUGGCAUAAUGACUAUUUGGUAUACUCUUCAAUUGGAGGAUUCUGCGGGUCAUUUGUCAGUUUCCAUGCAAAAGAUGGUUCUGGUUACAAGUUCUUGGGUGAGGUUGUCUUAUAGAUCAAGAAAAUAAAUCCUCGGGUUUGUUUCAUAUUGCUUGGUGAAUAAAGGCCUUGCUUCCAUUUAUUGUUUCAGUCUGGUUACAAGUUCUUGGGUGAGGUUGUCUUACAGUUGCGCAUCAUUGUUAAAUUUAGUUU